rnacentral:rRNA from 1 species
CAGCAGCCGCGGUAAUUCGUAGGGUCCGAGCGUUGUCCGGAAUUAUUGGGCGUAAAGGGCUUGUAGGCGGUUUGUCACGUCGGAAGUGAAAACUCAGGGCUUAACCCUGAGCCUGCUUCCGAUACGGGCAAACUAGAGGAAUGCAGGGGAGAAUGGAAUUCCUGGUGGAGCGGUGGAAUGCGCAGAUAUCAGGAGGAACACCGGUGGCGAAGGCGGUUCUCUGGGCAUUUCCUGACGCUGAGAAGCGAAAGCGUGGGGAGCAAACAGGCUUAGAUACCCUGGUAGUCCACGCCGUAAACGGUGGGCACUAGGUGUGGGGAACAUUCCACGUUCUCCGUGCCGAAGCUAACGCAUUAAGUGCCCCGCCUGGGGAGUACGGCCGCAAGGCUAAAACUCAAAGGAAUUGACGG